AAGUCGUAACAAGGUCUCCGUAGGUGAACCUGCGGAGGGAUCAUUAACACGUAUCCAAACGUAUUCCAAACCCAAACCGGUCUCGAUCCAAAUCCCCAUGUGAGGAAAGGUGUGGCGAGUAGGGCCUUUUAGGUGAAUUCUCUUUUUUAUUAAAGAGUCUGCCCUACCGCCGUGGCGGUCGACGUAUGAGCUUCAACCAAGCCUUGUCACAGUGGGUGUAGUAACUCUUUGUCACCUGGCUAUUAGGGCAACCCUGCACUUAUAGUGUCAUUCUAUGACAUUAUAUUUGACCAGGAUCCUUUUAGCCUUAUUAAACCAUAUUUUAACUCUUUUAUUUUAUAACACUGAUUUUACUUAUAUGUGGUCGAAAGGCUCAUAUAAUAUUUACGAAAUAUAUGUACAACUCUUAGCAACGGAUAUCUUGGCUCUC
rnacentral:misc_RNA from 1 species